rnacentral:rRNA from 1 species
UACAGAGGGUGCAAGCGUUAUUCGGAAUUACUGGGCGUAAAGAGCGCGUAGGCGGUUUUGUAAGUCUGAUGUGAAAGCCCUGGGCUCAACCCAGGAAGUGCAUCGGAUACUGCUAAACUUGAGUAUAGGAGGGGAGAGUGGAAUUUCUGGUGUAGAGGUGAAAUUCGUAGAUAUCAGAAGGAACAACAGUGGCGAAGGCGACUCUCUGGACUAUUACUGACGCUGAGGCGCGAAAGCGUGGGGAGCAAACAGG